GGACGGGUGAGUAAUGUCUGGGGAACUGCCCGAUGGAGGGGGAUAACUACUGGAAACGGUAGCUAAUACCGCAUAACGUCGCAAGACCAAAGAGGGGGACCUUGGGCCUCUUGCCAUCGGAUGUGCCCAGAUGGGAUUAGCUAGUAGGUGGGGUAACGGCUCACCUAGGCGACGAUCCCUAGCUGGUCUGAGAGGAUGACCAGCCACACUGGAACUGAGACACGGUCCAG
rnacentral:rRNA from 1 species